rnacentral:misc_RNA from 1 species
AAAUUAUAGCGGUAUGUCUGCGACCGUGCGUUGAACCGCGCCGGAAGUAGUGCACAACGGGACGUCUCUUGUGGCAGGAUAUUACUGUCUGCAUGUAUCUUCGGUAUCCGCCCGAUUCUCCAGUGUGCCCUUAAGGAUGUCCGUGCGAAUUUAUCCCAUCGGUAACUUGCCGCACCUUCCGGAGUUAUAUCUCACCCCGCUGCUUCGAGAGAACACGAUCGAUGCCAAUUUAUACCGCUGGGUGUUUGUUGCGCUUCGUUCGAUAAACUCCAAGCGAGACGGGCAUUUUCAGUAUUUACGCUCCGACAUCUCCCUGCGGCUGGUUUGCAGCUCGACCCUCAACCCUUCUCUUUCCUUUUCUACUUUAUUGCGCACUGGAAGAUCGUGUUUAUUGGGUUUCUCGGAUCUGAUGUCAUCUGUAUUUGAUCCCCUGUUACUGGUAUGACGCGUAACAUGUCCAACUAAUCUCGCAAUGCAAUUCUCCGGGACUAUUAAGCUCUAAAUAAUUGACGACUACAUAUUUACCUCUUUGUACGACGUUACAAUGUCUCCUGUGAUGCAAUAAAAUUACACGUUCCCCUAAUUCCUCAUUCAAUAAUAAAGACAUUUUUGAAAACAAAUUCUUGAUUGAUUUGGCAAGAAUUAUUUAACUAGUUUCCAACUAACUUUUGUUCUACUCUUUGAAAGCUUUUAAUUCAUCGAAUAUUAUCCUAUAAGAUAAGAUACACGAUUUAUUUUCCCAACAAAAUUUAAGUCUAUUCUUAUCCUUUUUGUUUAUGAAACUUCAUUACAUACAUUUUCUAUUCUAUUUUUAAAAUACUAUUGUUUAUUUGUCAUAAGAAAUUCUUAAGUAGGAAAAGAAAUGGUAAAGUAAGAUCAGAACGUCGUUACAACGAUACGUAAUAUUAAAUGUCACAUUCUGCUUCUUAUUUUAUAAUACGUAAACAAUUUCGCUUAUCGAUUGAUCUUCUUAUUGAAAGCAUAAAUUUCUAUGUAAAAAUAAUUCGCAAUGAUUCGUACUUUAAUAUCACUGAUAGCAAAAAAAGACAUCGAUCUGUAACUAAAACUGCCACCAACUCGUUUCCUCUUGGACUAAUGCCAAAUUUAAAAACAGAAAAACGAUUGACCUAGAAAUUAACAUCCUUCGAUUCAAUAUUGUUUAACAAUCGAACUCAGUACAGGCUACAUACAAAAAACAACAUCAGAAUUAUGUAAUUAAUACAAGCAGGUCAGAAUUUAUGGCACACUGAUAUUUGAUACAUUCAAUAAGUUUCAUACAAAAAUAUAAUAUCAUGGAUCUAAGUUCUUGGUAGACCAGUAUACCAGUUCAAAAUAAUACAAAAAUCAAGCAUAACAUUUCAUUUUCGAGGAAGUCGAGUUU